CCUGGCGGCCUUAGCGCGGUGGUCCCACCUGACCCCAUGCCGAACUCAGAAGUGAAACGCCGUAGCGCCGAUGGUAGUGUGGGGUCUCCCCAUGCGAGAGUAGGGAACUGCCAGCC
rnacentral:rRNA from 1 species